GAAGAUCUCCAGGUGGAAGCCGGUGCGGCAGUAGAGCUGCCGCCGCCGCAGGAUGCCCUUGAGUACCGCUUCCAGGCCUCAGACUCUGUUUGUGCUGGAUACUGUGUUAAGAAGUGGGUAACAAACCAGAGUCCUUGACCUGAGGAAUUUCACUGCUCUCUUGUGUGGAAAGAUUUCUAAUGGAAGGCAACAUGAAUGAGGCAACAGAAUUUCAGUCAAUGUAUAGAAAUAAUCCUGGAAAAGAGUGCAAAAAGAUGAACCAUGAAGAGAAGGAAGUUAAUCCAGAGCUUUCCAAUAGAGUGCAUAAUGGUAUUUCUAAUUACGCCAAAUAGGAACAGUAGGAAAGAGCAUUACCCAACUCUAAAAG